AUUAUCUGUGAAGAUGCAGAUUUCUUAUAUUAGGACAGAAAGACCCUAUGAAGCUUUACUAUUAAUAGAUAUUGAAAAUAUAUAUAUAUAACAUAGAAUAAAUGGGAAGUAGUAAUAUUAUUUUUUUGGAAAUAAUGUAAUUGUUAAUGAAAUACCAUUUUAUAUAUAUAUAAAUUCUUAUAAAAUUUUUAUAACAAAAUUUUUAACAAUAUUUAUAAGAUAGUUUGACUGGGGCGGUCUCCUCCUAUAUAAAAACGGAGGUGUACAAUGUUAUAUUUAUUAUAUAAAGAUAAAUAUAUAAUUAACUGUAAAAUUUACAAAUUAAACAGAGAUUAAUGUCGGUCUUAAUGAUCCGAUAAUUAUUUAAUAAUAAAAUUAUCGCUUAACGGAUAAAAGUUACUCUAGGGAUAACAGGCUAAUCUUUUCCGAGAGUCCAUAUUGACGAAAAGGUUUGGCACCUCGAUGUCGGCUUAUCGCAUCCUAAGGCAGUAGUAUGUUUUAAGGGUAAGUCUGUUCGCCUAUUAAAGCGAUACGUGAGCUGGGUUCAGAACGUCGUGAGACAGUUCGGUCCAUAUCUAAUAUAAGUGUUAGAAUAUUGAAAUUAUUUUUUCUAGUACGAGAGGAUCGAAAAAAUUAUACCAAUGAUAUAUCAAUUAUUAUAUUUUGUAAUGUUGAGUAGUUAAGUAUAAAAUUUUAAUUGUUGAAGUAAUAUAAAUAAGAAAAUUUAAUUAAAAAUAAUAUUCUAAUCAUAUAAAUGAAUAAAACAAUAAUUAGAAAAAUUAUUUUAUAGAAUUAAUAUGUAUUUAUAGUAAUAUAUUUAGUAUAUAAUUCCUAAUAAGUUGA